UGCGUGCAUGAAGGGAAUUUGGCCCAUGUCGGCUCGCUCGAUCUCUCGGUUGCGGUGCAUAAUUCGGGUAUGAGGCCCCCGAGCCUCUAUUCUGCCCAUACAACAAGCGUUCUACGCUUCAUGCGAACGACACUCGUCACCGUUUUGGUCGGGUCCUCGUGGCUCGAUUCAUGCGGUGCGGCGUCGAUGAAGGAAUGCUACCUGG
rnacentral:misc_RNA from 1 species